AAGUCGUAACAAGGUUUCCGUAGGUGAACCUGCGGAAGGAUCAUUAUUGAAUGGGAAACCUUGGCUGGAUGCUGUUUUGCUGGCCCUUUGGGCAAUGUGCACGCUCUAGUCAUUUGUUUCUUCUGUUCCACCUGUGCACUGCUGUAGACUUUAUGUGUCUAUGAUAUGUUGUUACAUUCACAUAAAUUUGUAUGUUGGGUUGGCAUAUAUAAUAAAAAUUACAACUUUCAACAAUGGAUCUCUUGGUUCUC
rnacentral:misc_RNA from 1 species